GAAUGUUGGGCUAAUUUGGCUGAAGCACCUGUCAGCCUACUGAUUGCCAGCAUGGAUUCAGCUGAUCUAGCUGGCUAGGUGGGCGUCUCCUUCCUCCCUCACUGCUCUAUGUGUAACCCUCCUGAAAGUGGUCAGAGGACACCUUUGUGGAAUUGGUUCUUUCCUCUUUCCUUGGGUUCCAGGGGUCAAACUCAGGUCAGUAGGCUUACACAGAAAGCUCACCAUCUCU
rnacentral:snRNA from 1 species